CAACCUUUCAUUUAUUUCUAAUAAAAAAUUAAAACAUCCUUAUUUUUAUUUCAGAAAAACACUAGCUUUAUAAACCUAACAAAUAUCAAAAUUCAAUAAACUUUAAUUUUUAAAUUUCAAAAUUCAAAUAAUUUAAACAAGGAUCGAGAGAAACAAGAUCUGAAAAAUACAAAAUUGCUCUUCAAUCUUCAUCUUCUUCCCCCUUUCCAACCGUGAGACGCAAUCACGACGGCUGCGGCGGUUAGAGGCGGCGAGUGGCGGUGAGAGGACAACAAAUGAAAGAGGACCACCACUUUUCAGAUAUCUAGUACAUGUCAUGAAUGUGGCAACUCCAAGCAAGGACUGCCUGGAGCUUGUAAGAGAGUUGCUUGAACCCUUAAUAAAGGCUAGAAGUCAGAGGAGUUUGACCUGACAGGAGGCAUUUGACAGAAAGAAGUGGGAGAAGUUUAAUAGCAAAAAGGUUGUCUUACUGGCAUUUGCAAGGAUGCAAGGAAAGAACAAAAAAAAUUUCGUACAAAGGUGAAGAAACAACACAAUUAUCUACUGCUGGGGACUCUGAACAUGUCAAUAUUUCAUGUGAAUGUAUAUAUAUGUGAAUGUAUAUUAGGUACCGUUAAUUAGUUUUGUUAAUGUUGUAAUAAAGCCUAAAAAAGAUAGGAAUGUAUAUGUGAAUCAGUUUCUUUGACUUGCUCUUAUGAUAGA